rnacentral:miRNA from 20 species
UGGAGGCAGGGCCUUUGUGAAGGCG